CUACUAACUACAACCACUUCACAUACAAGGAUAAUUAAUACUCAAGUUAUUUCUUUAUACUAAGAGACUGAUACUUUGUACUACAGGAGUGUACUGUGUCCUAUGCAUCAUUUGACCAGGCAGUCGAGUUAGUUCGGAAGGGAGGACGCGGGGUGCUGAUGUCUAAGGUGGACGUUGAAUCAGUGUUUUGACUCUUGCCGAUUCACCCAGCUUGUCACCAUCUGUUGAGUUGUUCUUUCAACAGGGCAUAUUUUGUGGAUAUCUGUUUACCUAUAGGAUGAGCCAUGUUGUGUGCGUAUUUUGAGAAGUUUAGCACCUUCUUGGAAUGGGUUGUAUGGGAGGAGUCGGGGGGGUGCAAUAGUGCAUUACCUCAAUGAUUUUUUGUGUGUGAGCCCGGCUGGGUCUAACCAGUGUGGCCAUACUUUGAGGUUACUGGAAUGGGUGGCUCUUACUUUUGGGGUCCCACUCACGGCGGACAAGAUGGUGGUCCCCACCAAGAGUCUCAGCUUCCUGGGUUUGGAGAUUGAUUCGGUCAAAGGGGAAUGUCGCUUGCCUGAAGAUAAACUGAUCACACUUCGUCAGUUGGUCAGGGAUGUCCAGGCAGCGCGGAAGGUUAUGCUUCAGGUCUUACAGUAACUGCUGGAGAGUCUCAACUUUGCUUGUUGGGUGAUACCUAAAGGUC